rnacentral:rRNA from 1 species
GACGAACGCUGGCGGCGUGCUUAACACAUGCAAGUCGAACGGAAAGGCCCCUUUGGGGGUACUCGAGUGGCGAACGGGUGAGUAACACGUGAGUAACCUGCCCUUGACUUCGGGAUAACUUCAGGAAACUGGGGCUAAUACCGGAUAGGAAUCCUUGCUGCAUGGUGGGGGUGGAAAAGUUUCGGCGGUUUUGGGUGGACUUGCGGCUUAUCCGCUUGUUGGUGGGGUAGUGGCUUACAAAGGCUUUGACGGGUAGCCGGCCUGAGAGGGCGACCGGCAACAUUGAGACUGAGAUUCGGCCCAGACUCCGACGGGAGGGAGCAGUGGGGAAUAUUGCACAAGGGGCGGAGGCCUAAUGCAGCAACGCCGCGUGCGGGAUGACGGCCUUCGGGUUGUAAACCGCUUUCAGCAGGGGCGAAGCUUGUGGUGACGGUACCUGCAGAAGAAGCACCGGCUAACUACGUG